UGCAUCCGAAAAUUCUUUAGUUCAGGCCCGAAUGGAGAUAGUGGUGCAGGCAGAGAGACCGUAGUCCAAAGCCAGGCCCAAAGCCCCUUCUGACUUAGACACCUCUAGGGGUUCAAACAAAGUCCUCUCAUUUCGCCAAGUGCUGCCUCAGAGACCUGGAGUCUCCUCCUCCAGAGACGAAUCUAGANACUUAGACACCUCUAGGGGUUCAAACAAAGUCCUCUCAUUUCGCCAAGUGCUGCCUCAGAGACCUGGAGUCUCCUCCUCCAGAGACGAAUCUAGAAACACCCUUCUUCACCCAACCGACCACCAUCAACCACCGUCCACGAUGUCGUCANCAACGAUGCUCGUUGCCGGAGCCACCAAGUUGAGGCCGUCAUCCCCGUCAAGGCCCCUUCGUCACCNUCGUGNCGCCGCCACUGUCNAAUCGGAGGCGNCGCUNCCUUAGUCUCUCNUUCGUGAAUCGCCUCUUGGAAGAGCUUGGCCAUUGCGAGCCGCAAGCCAAGGCCUCACCAGCGUCGCCNGUCAUCGCCUGAACCGUCGACAACAUCAUCAUCCAGGCCAUCAACGUCGUCGCCCUUCGCGGNGGCUCACCCNCUUCUGCUAGUCNCAUUGCUUAGCGACGCCGAU
rnacentral:lncRNA from 1 species